CGUGUAGGCGGGAAGGAAAGUCAGAUGUGAAAUCCCCAGGCUCAACCUGGGAACUGCAUUUGAAACUCCCUUUCUUGAGUAUCGGAGAGGAAAGCGGAAUUCCUGGUGUAGAGGUGAAAUUCGUAGAUAUCAGGAGGAACACCAGCGGCGAAGGCGGCUUUCUGGACGGUAACUGACGCUGAGACGCGAAAGCGUGGGGAAGCAAACA
rnacentral:rRNA from 1 species